AUGGCUACCUCCAGCAUGGCAUCAGCUGCUUCAGGGUUCUUGCUCACACCCAAUGUCGCAGCGAAUUCAAGCUCCACUUCUAAGACCACCACCGUGUUUUUCCCUUCAAAGAACAACAACAAUUCCAGGCUUGUGGUGACGAGGGCAGCUGACGAGGCUGCUGCACCAGCACCAGCUACCACCACUGCAGCAUCAGAAGGCGGUGAAGCCCCUAAACCUAAGCCACCACCAAUUGGACCAAAAAGAGGAACCAGG
rnacentral:lncRNA from 1 species